CCCAGACUCCUACGGGAGGCAGCAGUGGGGAAUAUUGCACAAUGGGGGAAACCCUGAUGCAGCGACGCCGCGUGAGCGAAGAAGUAUUUCGGUAUGUAAAGCUCUAUCAGCAGGGAAGAAAAAAAUGACGGUACCUGAGUAAGAAGCACCGGCUAAAUACGUGCCAGCAGCCGCGGUAAUACGUAUGGUGCAAGCGUUAUCCGGAUUUACUGGGUGUAAAGGGAGCGUAGGCGGCGCGUUAAGUCUGAUGUGAAAACCCGAGGCUCAACCACGGGAGUGCAUUGGAAACUGGCGGGCUGGAGUGCCGGAGAGGUAAGCGGAAUUCCUAGUGUAGCGGUGAAAUGCGUAGAUAUUAGGAGGAACACCAGUGGCGAAGGCGGCUUACUGGACGGCAACUGACGCUGAGGCUCGAAAGCGUGGGGAGCAAACAGGAUUAGAUACCCUAGUA
rnacentral:rRNA from 1 species